GGAAGCCCGUCCUGGCCGGUGCUGGGCCCGGUCUUCAAAACCGGCGAGUGGCGCUCGCGUCACUGGUGGGUUCGACUCCCACUGGCUUCCGCCA
rnacentral:tRNA from 1 species